rnacentral:rRNA from 1 species
GGAUUAGAUACCCUGGUAGUCCACGCCGUAAACGAUGAGGGCUAGUUGUCGGGAGGCAUGCCGUUCGGUGACGCAGCUAACGCAUUAAGCCCUCCGCCUGGGGAGUACGGUCGCAAGAUUAAAACUCAAAGGAAUUGACGGGGGCCCGCACAAGCGGUGGAGCAUGUGGUUUAAUUCGAUGCAACGCGAAGAACCUUACCAGGCCUUGACAUCCUUGGAAUUCUGCAGAGAUGCGGAAGUGCCUUCGGGAAUCAAGUGACAGGUGCUGCAUGGCUGUCGUCAGCUCGUGUCG